GAGAUGUUGGGUUAAGUCCCGUAACGAGCGCAACCCCUAUCCCUAGUUGCUAGCAGUUCGGCUGAGAACUCUAGGGAGACUGCCGGUGUCAAACCGGAGGAAGGUGGGGAUGACGUCAGGUCAUCAUGGCCCUUACGGCCAGGGCUACACACGUGCUACAAUGGUGCGUACAGAGGGCUGCAAACCCGCGAGGGGGAGCUAAUCUCACAAAACGCAUCGUAGUCCGGAUCGGAGUCUGCAACUCGACUCCGUGAAGUCGGAAUCGCUAGUAAUCGCGGAUCAGAAUGCCGCGGUGAAUACGUUCCCGGGCCUUGUACACACCGCCCGUCACAUCAUGGGAGUUGGAUCUACCCGAAGACUGUGCGCUAACUUCGGAGGCAGCAGGCCACGGUAGGUUCAGCGACUGGGAUGAAGUCGUAACAAGGUAGCCGUAGGGGAACCUGCGGCUGGAUCACCUCCUU
rnacentral:rRNA from 1 species